UACGGAGGGGGCUAGCGUUGUUCGGAAUUACUGGGCGUAAAGCGCGCGUAGGCGGCUUUGUAAGUUAGAGGUGAAAGCCCGGAGCUCAACUCCGGAACUGCCUUUAAGACUGCAUCGCUUGAAUCCAGGAGAGGUGAGUGGAAUUCCGAGUGUAGAGGUGAAAUUCGUAGAUAUUCGGAAGAACACCGGAGGCGAAGGCGGCUUGCUGGGCUCGGACUGACGCUGAGGCGCGAAAGCGUGGGGAGCAAACAGG
rnacentral:rRNA from 1 species